UCCCUGGAGGAUUAGUGGUUAGACCUCAGCGCUCUCACCGCUGUGGCCUUUGGUUCGAUUCCCGGCCAGGGAG